CCUACGGGAGGCAGCAGUGGGGAAUAUUGGACAAUGGGGGCAACCCUGAUCCAGCCAUGCCGCGUGUGUGAAGAAGGCCCUCGGGUUGUAAAGCACUUUCAGUGAGGAAGAACACCUGGUGGUUAAUACCCAUCAGGAAAGACAUCACUCACAGAAGAAGCACCGGCUAACUCCGUGCCAGCAGCCGCGGUAAUACGGAGGGUGCGAGCGUUAAUCGGAAUUACUGGGCGUAAAGCGCGCGUAGGUGGCUUGAUAAGCCGGUUGUGAAAGCCCCGGGCUCAACCUGGGAACGGCAUCCGGAACUGUCAAGCUAGAGUGCAGGAGAGGAAGGUAGAAUUCCCGGUGUAGCGGUGAAAUGCGUAGAGAUCGGGAGGAAUACCAGUGGCGAAGGCGGCCUUCUGGACUGACACUGACACUGAGGUGCGAAAGCGUGGGUAGCAAACAGGAUUAGAUACCCUUGUAGUC
rnacentral:rRNA from 1 species